CGUAACCAGAGAGAUUUGGUGUUCCCUUCGGGGACCUGCGACACAGGUGCUGCAUGGCUGUCGUCAGCUCGUGUCGUGAGAUGUUGGGUUAAGUCCCGCAACGAGCGCAACCCACGUCCUUAGUUGCCAUCAUUGAGUUGGGCACUCUAGGGAGACUGCCGGUGAUAAGCCGCGAGGAAGGUGUGGAUGACGUCAAGUCCUCAUGGCCCUUACGGGAUGGGCUACACACGUGCUACAAUGGCGGUGACAGUGGGAUGCGAGCCUGCGAAGGUGAGCAAAUCCCCAAAAGCCGUCUCAGUUCGGAUUGCACUCUGCAACUCGGGUGCAUGAAGGCGGAAUCGCUAGUAAUCGUGGAUCAGCAUGCCACGGUGAAUACGUUCCCGGGCCUUGUACACACCGCCCGUCACACCAUGGGAGUUGGUCUUACCCGACGGCGCUGCGCCAACCCGCGAGGGGAGCAGGCGACCACGGUAGGGUCAGCGACUGGGGUGAAGUCGUAACAAGGUAAGCGUAGUGCU
rnacentral:rRNA from 1 species